AUACUUAUCUGAUGUAGAGAUACCGUGAUCACGAAAGCGGUUUCUCCAGGGCGAGACUCUUCCAUUGCACUGUAGUUGAAUUGACCUCUGCGAAUACCCCUAACGUGAGUGUUCGAAUGAAUAAUUUUUGACAAUCGGGAAAAUAGCGUUCGCUAUCCUGAC